rnacentral:rRNA from 1 species
CCUACGGGUGGCUGCAGUGGGGAAUAUUGGGCAAUGGGCGCAAGCCUGACCCAGCAACGCCGCGUGAAGGAAGAAGGCUCUCGGGUUGUAAACUUCCUUUCUUGGGGACGAAGAAAGUGACGGUACCCACGGAAUAAGCCACGGCUAACUACGUGCCAGCAGCCGCGGUAAUACGUAGGUGGCAAGCGUUAUCCGGAUUUAUUGGGUGUAAAGGGCGUGUAGGCGGGAUUGCAAGUCAGAUGUGAAAACCACGGGCUCAACCUGUGGCCUGCAUUUGAAACUGGAGUUCUUGAGUGCUGGAGAGGCAAGCGGAAUUCCGGGUGUAGCGGUGAAAUGCGUAGAUAUACGGAAGAACACCAAUUGCGAAGGCAGAUUACUAAACAGUAACUGACGCUGAGGCGCGAAAGCGUGGGGAGCAAACAGGAUUAGAUACCCUUGUAGUC